AAUUCUACUCUGCUUGUGUUCACAUUGGACAGCAUUGUUUGAAGUCUACCCUGCUUGUGUUCACAUUAGACUGCUUGUGUUCACAUUAUAUAAAGUCUACUCCUGUUCACAUUACCAUUUCCCUCGAUUUUGGCUUCUCUGUCGCAGCCAGUCCUCCCUUCACUCUGCCUAUAUUGUUGUUGAACUAAUCUCUUGUUGCGGUAUUUCACAUGGAGGAUUAUCAGCAAGUUUUUCCCAGUCUUACAAUGGAUGUCAACAAAAUUCUCGGAGUCGCCAAACAUGCCAUCAGUCUUGUUCAAAAGGUCAGCAGCGUCGGAAAUAUAAUCUUGAGAACAUGAGAAAGCUUGACCUGGAGGACGACUUAACUUAUGAGGAACAACCUAUUGACAUGUCAAAGGUUGAGACGCCAAACUAUUCCCUAUGUGAAGAUCAAAUGGCAAAACCAUACUAAGAAAGGCCACUUGGGAGCUGAAAGAUGAGGCAAUGCGUCAAUACUCUCGUUUAUAUGAAAGUUGAGAGAUUUCUCGGAAAAUAGUAUAUGUUAACGUGAAACAAACGGCAUGUCGGAGACUCUUGACGUAUAUUUUUAAAUUAGGAUAUUGAAAAGCCUCCCAUGUGAGUCGUGCAGAGACACUCCCAAGUCGUUUAGCCAUCUUCCGCGAAGGUGAAUCCAGGAUUCGUGGUAAGUUCCACGGUUUUUCUACAAAGUUUUAAUCUACCAUGAAGAGGGUAUUGUGCAAUUAGUAGGUUUUAAAACAAAAGAGAAAUUUCGUUAUUCUACUAGUGGUGAGUUUUUUCACCCGAAAUCAAUGACUUGAAAAUGAUUAAUUGCAUUACUUAGAAUUACUGGUUAACGAAAAAUAUUUUCAUCAUCAAUAAUAAUUUACGUGUAGGCAUUUUCGUUGUCGAUGAAAAAAUUAUUCGCCAAUUCAUUUUUGUAAGCCAUGUGAACGAUGUUUCUAAGAAAAAAUUUCGCAAAUUAUAGCUUUUCUAAUGCACCCGAAAUUAAUUUGAAUGCAAAAGAUUAUAUGAAACGGAAUAGCUAAAGAAGGUUGGAAAUAGUCUCAAAUAUCUUUUACAGAUUAUAUGUUUACCAGCAUAAUGCACUAGGCAUCAACUAGCUUUUGACAAGAAAGCGACCAUUUUGGGGGGAGGGGCGAAAUUACCAAAAAAGUCUCGGACCUAUUAUACUUGUAUCAAUUUAGUUAUAAAUCUUUCAAUUGAGUUUUAAAUAUUUUCACUUUUUGUCAAU